UGAGGAAUAUUGGUCAAUGGGCGGAAGCCUGAACCAGCCAUCCCGCGUGCAGGAAGACGGCCCUAUGGGUUGUAAACUGCUUUUCCAGGGGGAGAAACUUUCCGAUGCAUCGGGAUUUGACGGUACCCUGGGAAUAAGCAUCGGCUAACUCCGUGCCAGCAGCCGCGGUAAUACGGAGGAUGCGAGCGUUAUCCGGAUUUAUUGGGUUUAAAGGGUGCGUAGGCGGGUUAAUAAGUCAGUGGUGAAAACCUACAGCUUAACUGUAGACUUGCCGUUGAUACUGUUAGUCUUGAGUGUGGUCAAGGUAGGCGGAAUGUGUAAUGUAGCGGUGAAAUGCUUAGAUAUUACACAGAACACCGAUUGCGAAGGCAGCUUACUGGGCCAUUACUGACGCUGAUGC
rnacentral:rRNA from 1 species